rnacentral:rRNA from 1 species
GACGAACGCUGGCGGCGUGCUUAACACAUGCAAGUCGAACGGACAGGCCCUGCUUUUGUGGGGUGCUCGAGUGGCGAAGGGGUGAGUAACACGUGAGUAACCUCCCCUUGACUUUGGGAUAACUUCAGGAAACUGGGGCUAAUAUCGGAGAGGAGCUCCUGCUGCAUGGGGUGGGAUGGAAAGUGUCGGCGGUUGGGGAUGGACUCGCGGGUAAUCAGCUGGUUGGGGUGGUAGGUGAGUACCAGGCCUUUGACGGAUAGCCGGCCUGGGAGGGUGAACGGCGACCAUGGGACUGAGAGACGGACCAGACGGCUACGGGAGGCAGCAGUGGAGAAUCUUGCAGAAUGGGCGGAAGCCUGAUGCAGCGACGCCGCGUGCGGGAUGACGGCCUUCGGGUUGUAAACAGCUGUCGACGGUGACGAAGAGUGAGUGACGGUAAUGGGUAAAAAAGCACCGGCUAACUACGUG